rnacentral:misc_RNA from 1 species
UUCUUCUGAAAACGGUUGU